AUGUUACUCCCUCCGUCCCGUAUUAAAUGACAUUCUAUUACAUGUAUCUAAACGUUUUUUAGGUAUAGAUACAUCCAUAUUGGGGCAAACUUGAGUCACUUAAUAUGAGAUGGAGGGAGUACAAC
rnacentral:pre_miRNA from 1 species